AGAGUUUGAUCCUGGCUCAGGAUGAACGCUAGCGGCAGGCCUAACACAUGCAAGUCGAGGGGCAGCACAGGUAGCAAUACUGGGUGGCGACCGGCGGAUGGGUGCGUAACGCGUAUGCAACCUACCAUUGAUUGGGGCAUAGCCCGAAGAAAUUCGGAUUAAUACUCCAUAAUAUUCAUCAAAGGCAUCUUUUAUGAAUUAAAGCUUUUGCGAUCAAUGAUGGGCAUGCGUGACAUUAGUUAGUUGGUGAGGUAACGGCUCACCAAAACGAUGAUGUCUAGGGGUUCUGAGAGGAUUAUCCCCCACACUGGUACUGAGACACGGACCAGACUCCUACGGGAGGCAGCAGUGAGGAAUAUUGGUCAAUGGACGCAAGUCUGAACCAGCCAUGCCGCGUGCAGGAUGACGGCCCUAUGGGUUGUAAACUGCUUUUCCACGGGAAGAACCCUCCGACGUGUCGGAGACUGACGGUACCGUGGGAAUAAGCAUCGGCUAACUCCGUGCCAGCAGCCGCGGUAAUACGGAGGAUGCAAGCGUUAUCCGGAUUUAUUGGGUUUAAAGGGUGCGUAGGUGGGCUUAUAAGUCAGCGGUGAAAUCCCCCGGCUCAACCAGGGAAUUGCCGUUGAUACUGUUAGCCUUGAGUACAGUUGAAGUGGGCGGAAUGUAGCAUGUAGCGGUGAAAUGCAUAGAUAUGCUACAGAACACCAAUAGCGAAGGCAGCUCACUAAGUUGUAACUGACACUAAUGCACGAAAGCGUGGGGAUCAAACAGGAUUAGAUACCCUGGUAGUCCACGCUGUAAACGAUGAUCACUCGAUGUUGGCGAUAUACAGUCAGCGUCUAAGCGAAAGCAAUAAGUAAUCCACCUGGGGAGUACGAUCGCAAGGUUGAAACUCAAAGGAAUUGACGGGGGCCCGCACAAGCGGUGGAGCAUGUGGUUUAAUUCGAUGAUACGCGAGGAACCUUACCUGGGCUUGAACGUAUUAUGACAGUCCCCGAAAGGGGAUCUUCCUUUAGGACAUUUUACGAGGUGCUGCAUGGUUGUCGUCAGCUCGUGCCGUGAGGUGUCGGGUUAAGUCCCAUAACGAGCGCAACCCCUAUUCUUAGUUGCCA
rnacentral:rRNA from 1 species